rnacentral:ncRNA from 1 species
UGCGUAGCGCGUGUUUUAGGACGAUGUCGCGAAACUUGACCCCCUUCAGGCGGGCGGUGCGGAUAUACUGUGCCGUCAUGACUUCGGUCAUCGAGGCCCGUGUCAUCCGCGCGAUAUAUCCCAUCCCAUAAAGCGAGAUGGUGAGGACCGGCAGGAAGAAGUUCUCAAAAUUGGCAUUC